UACGAAGGGGGCUAGCGUUGCUCGGAAUCACUGGGCGUAAAGCGCACGUAGGCGGGUUCUUAAGUCAGGGGUGAAAUCCUGGAGCUCAACUCCAGAACUGCCUUUGAUACUGGGAAUCUCGAGUCCGGGAGAGGUGAGUGGAACUGCGAGUGUAGAGGUGAAAUUCGUAGAUAUUCGCAAGAACACCAGUGGCGAAGGCGGCUCACUGGCCCGGUACUGACGCUGAGGUGCGAAAGCGUGGGGAGCGAACCGG
rnacentral:rRNA from 1 species